UACAGAUAAGACAUUCAAAAGGAUUGGAGUCCUCGUUGUUUUUGAUCUACAGGUGUAUUCAUAGAUGUCACCAAAGGAAGUAAUAUUCUCAGCAUGGCAAUGCACAACAGAAUCUGGAAAUGGAAUAAGAAGCCAUAGAAGUAGUUGGAAAGCCUGUAAGGUUUCCUGUGAAUGUUGCCUUCCCAGCCAGGAAUUAAAUAUUGAAGGGUUUAAGGAGUCAACCAUUAUCUUCCUCGCUUCAGCCAGAGGUUGUAACGUGAUGCCCCUUGCCUCCUACUAAACAACACUAUACAUUCACAAAAUGGGUGAGUCUGGCAUAAAACUUGCCUUACCUCACUUCGUAGUAACUUCAUAACUUGCUACAGUGAGAUUUGUCUAUGGGCAUUUCACCAGCCUCUCAG
rnacentral:lncRNA from 1 species